rnacentral:rRNA from 1 species
UACGUAGGGCGCGAGCGUUGUCCGGAAUCAUUGGGCGUAAAGAGCUCGUAGGCGGCCGGUUGCGUCUGCUGUGAAAUCCCGGGGCUUAACCCCGGGCGUGCAGUGGAUACGGGCUGGCUGGAGGCAGGCAGGGGAGAGUGGAAUUCCCGGUGUAGCGGUGAAAUGCGCAGAUAUCGGGAGGAACACCAGUAGCGAAGGCGGCUCGCUGGGCCGUUCCUGACGCUGAGACGCGAAAGCUAGGGGAGCGAACAGG